rnacentral:tRNA from 1 species
AUCUUUAUAGUUUAAAUAAAACAUUAUUCUUUCACAAUAAAAAUUAACUAUAUUAUAAAGAUA